CUCGGUGGAAACGGACCCGCGCGCGCCGCUGGGGUGAGGCAUCCUGCGACAUUUCGGGUCCAGCCCCAGCCCUUGCCGUUUGUUAUCCAUCCUCUCACCCAGUCCUCCAGCCUCUCCCGGCCAGUCCUGAUGAACCCCUUCCGCUCACCCCUCACGCUCCGACCCAAUUCCCCAUUACAGGCUGCGUUCUUGUCAUCUCGGCUACUCCACAUUUUUAACUCCCUGUUACAAAGAGGCGUUACAAAUAUAGCUUAGAGAAAUGAAUCCCGCUUUUCUUCCCUUCACUGUUUUAUCUUUUACCCCUUAAGAGUCUUUAAAAACAGCAGUUGCUUCCAAGUGAUGAUUGUUCAAACUGUGUGUCUAGCCAUUUGGGUGUCCGUUAACAUGUUUGUGCUCUUUGAGUUUUGUGAUAAAGACAUAAAACACUAAUCCAGAUUUAGGGAAAGUUUUCCUAUUGGUUGCAAGGUUGUGUUGGAGUAUCUUCAGGCCCAUCAGGGUCUUUUUCUUUUCUUUUUUUAAUUUUUACAUCUUACAAUAGAUGCAGUGAUACUUGGGCCUAAGUACUAUAUAUUUAGUAGCUUGAGAAAGUUGUUCAGUUUUUUACUUAUUUCUUCAGUUUUCAUUUUCUCAUGCUAAUAUGUACAGAAAACAGAGGAUAUUUCUCAAGCACAUUAUUUAGGCUUUCCAAGAACCAUGAGAAGUCGUAAGUACAAAGUGUAUGACUUUAAUUUACUUAAUCUUUUACAUGUACAAUUAAUUUUAAACAAGAUCAAAGGAGGAUUUGGAAUAUUCCAGUGACUUCUUCCUGGCAUUAACUAGCGAGAUCGAACUCAGGACCUUUUUCUUGCAAGGCAGGCAGCAGCACCACUGAGCUAAACCCACGGACUCUGGAAUCAUACUGUUAAUAGAGACAGGAUCUCACUAUGUAGGCCUCCAAC